rnacentral:tRNA from 1 species
CGCAGGGUAGAGCAGUCCGGAAGCUCGCGUGGCUCAUAACCAUGAGGUCGGCGGUUCAAAUCCGCCCCCUGCAACCA